CUGUGCAUCCGGAGGCAGCAGACAAAGACUGGGCAGUACCGGGCACGUUCCUGGUCCUGGCCCCUCCCCGGGCCGCACCUCCUGACCGGGGAGCGAAUUGCCCCCAAUUAAAGAAGCAAACAAAAAAUGUUUAAAAAAAAAAAAAUCCACGAGCCCCUCCCCCUUUUAUUGCACUUAAAAAAGGGGAGUAAGGGGAAAGCAAUCUAUGCGCGUCCCGACCAAUGGGGCUGUUGGCGCGGUGCGGAGGAGCUGGCCAGCACCCCGCUGCCGUCCGGGAGUCAGGUUGACUCCCGCAGUCUCCCGGCGAGGGGCGGGGCUGGGUGGCAGCGUGCAGGUGGCCGAGCUCCUGCCCGCGGGAGACUGGUCUCUGCGCCGCCUUCCCCGAGAUCUUGCGGUCUGGGUCCGCGCACCGUCCCCGGUGCCUGUCACUGGAGCGGGCACCUGGCGCUCCCGCGCUGCUGCGGCGCGCAGAGCUGGCUGCGGGGCUGGGGAAUCCGCGGCCACCGCCUCUAAUCCGCCCUUAAGUAGUCUCCGCCUGCGUCACGCCAGGUCGGCGGAGGGGAGCAGAGCGCGGCGUGCCGCUGUCGCCGAGCGUCGGAGCCCGAGGGGCCGCGGCCGCGCGCUGCGGGGGGGAGGAGACGGUCUGGAGUCCCCCGCUGCGCCGGGGAUGGGGAGACCAAGGACUGCAGCGCCCCUUGGGGCUUCUGGGGCUCCCAGGUAGCCUCACCUGGCCGCCGGCCUCCCGCAGGAGGAGCAGACUCGUAGGUUCCACAUGAACCUGUUAACAACUCCACUCUAAAUAUCCGGCAGAGGUGGGAUUGUUGCUCACUAAGGCAGGGUCUCUCACUGAACCUGGAAUUCACUGAUUUGGCUGCACUAGUUAGACAGUCAGCUGUGGGGAUCCUAUGUCACCAGCACUGAGGUCACAGAACAUAUGGGAGUUAUGGAAGCUUUCUACAUCAGUCUGGGCCUGGGGACGUGAAGGAUGAAAACAGGAGGAGAUGAAGCUCACUAACAGGAUUAAGAGAUCGCUAUAGGAACAACUGAAAGAACUAUCUGCGAGAAAAAGACAGCAAGGAUGAGUCCUGUGCAUAACGGAACGAACAAUUACCAUUUAGAGAGCCGAGGAAGCCGGAAUGUGACUAAGUUUAGAAAGAAAAUUAUGAAUUUGAUUUUGGGCAAGUUGAAGUCAAAAUGCCCUUGAGAUAUUUAAGAGAGCUCCAAGAAGGCUGAUGAAUAUGAAAGUUUGAAACACCAAGUUUAAUUCCUGGAAUUAAAACCAGGAAAAUUGGUCAAUGAAUUUUAGGGAAGGAAUACAGUAUGGUAUAUUCUUGGUGCUGACAAGUUCUCUCGUGACUGAUAGGAAAAUGCUGACCAUUCAAGGACACACAAAAUCUGGAGUUUGGAGGAAAAUGAAGAGUGAAUCCAGUCAAGAGAGUGUUCUUACUGAAGGCAACAGUAAGCUGUGAUGACUGAAAAAAGCCCUCUGACCAUGUGAGUCCCAUGAACCUCGCCUAGGUGGCACUCACUACCCACUUCCUCCAUGACCUCAGCUCUAUUGUCUAAGGAUGACGCUGAACCCCAUGCACCUCCCCCAAGUAGCAACAUUCCCACAAGACCCUAUUCCUGACCACAGCCUCUGGUAGAAUACUGUGAACCUUCCACAGACUUCUGAGGGUUUGUAGCCUGCUGUGUGGAAGGUUUGUGAUCAGAGGCUGCAUCUCCCCCUGGUUGAUCUAGGACCACUUUUGUUACCCUGUUUACACAUCAACACAGAGUGACCUGAAGACUGAACUCCAAACACCAUUCAGCUGGUCCAAAGCCUGACGAAUUGUGGCAAUAGCAAGCAGAUAUCCAAAUAUCUACUCAACAAAGGUGGGAUAAAUAUCCAUACCAAAAUCACUAUCAACCACCUAACUACAGAUGUCUAGGUCCCACUGCAAAAACACAAAGAACACAAAUAACCAAGUCAACAUGUCUCCUCCAGGAAUCAGUAUUCUCACAGCAAUGCUCCCCCACAAAAAAACAACUUAGAUGACACACAAGACAAUUAUUCCAAAAUAGCAAUUAUAAAUAUAUAUGAGGUACCCAGAAAGGAUAUGAAUAAAUGCUGGAACAAAGACCAUGAAAACACAAACAGCUGAACAAAAUAUAAACAAUUCAAGAUAUAAAAGUAGAAUUUAAAAAGAGAUAGAAUUUCUGACAUUCUGACAAAACCUAACAUGAAAUAGAACUUGAAAAAAUUCAGUAAAUAAAAUCAAAAGUCUAAUGCAAGUCCUCAUCAACAGAAUGGAUCAAGUGGAAGAGAGAACGUUGAGGCUUAAAGACAAAAUGCAGGGAUUGGAUGACUCAAAGAAAAUAAUAAAUGUGAGAAAAACCCUCUAGAAAUCCAACAGCUAAAAUCGAAUGUCAGGUUUAGGCAGAGCACUUUCUCAUGGAAAGAUGAACCUGCGUAUUGGUGUGAGACUCCAACUGACCUAGUUUGCUUUUGUUCUUGUGAUAAAACACUGACCAAAAACAACGUGGAGAGGAAAGGGUUCAUUUGGAUUACAGGUUAUAGUUUACCAUUGAGGGAAACCAAGGCAAAAGCUCAAUGUAGGAGCUUGAAACAGUAAUGGUAGAUGAGUGCUGCUUACUAGUGUGCACCCCAGACCUAACUGUCUAGAGAUGAUACUGCCCAUGGUGUGCUGGGCCCUUCCCCGCCAAUUAACUGUCUACAAUUAACUAUGAACACCCUACAGACAAACCCACUGACCAAGCCAAGAAAAGAAACUUCUCAGUUGGGGUUUUCUCUUCCCAGAUGUGUCAAGUUGACAACUGAAGGUAACUAUGCCACCGACAAAGUUUCUUUCUAUGGCUCCUGAUUUCUUUUGUGAAGUUGGAAAAGGGAAGUCUUAAAGAACAAGGAAGAGGAAGGGGAGCAGUGAAAGUCAUUGUUCCAAAGGUUGAGAGAGGAAUUUCGAGACAGCAUCAGUUUUUGCAUAUUUACCUGGUCUGGGCCCAACUCAUCUUUAGUUUCACAUGUUUGGUCCCCUUAUACAAGCACUAAUGAUUUUUUUCAGUGUUGCGAAGUCUGUGCUUAAUUCACUUUGGUUUUUAUUCUGCAAAUGUCUACUCCCUGCUUUAAAUCUUCCAUACUGCAUAUGUAACAGACCUUCAUGAAAUGAUGACCAAGUUCUGUUUAUAACUUCUGAAACCACCUAGAGUCAGUCAUUGUUCAAGUAUGCCGAGCAGUGUUUUCUAGAACAGCCUGUGAGGACAUGGAAGGAACAAUAUUGGUAAAGCAGUGAGGCCAUUGCUGGUUGAAAUAGUUCAGAGAAACAGGAUGGCAGGGAAAUGGGUGACUCCUCUGCCUGCUUGCCUGUCUGACUCUAAGAAGUGAACUGCUGAGUAAGAAGGAGACUUGCUCAUUCCUGAUUCUCUAAUGAGAUUGUCAGGGGCUCUGAGUGAGAUUCUUGGCUUUCUUGUAUUGAGUACAUUCCCAGAACCAGGAGAAGACUUCUAGCUUUCAUAAAUGGAAGACUUUCUUGGUUAACCCAUUGCCAACCCUAGAGGUUAGUUUCUUCACCUACCAGAAGACUCAGUCUAGAUUCUCACCUCUCCUUAACCUUUCUUUUUCCAGUGACUUUCUGAGACCUUUCAGAAAACCUUUCACCUGACCUUAAAGAGUCAAGCUCAGACCCACCAAGAAGGAUUUCUUCCAUUAAGAUAGAAAUCUGAUCUGCUUUUGGUAGGAUGGAACAAAGAAGUCAUAAUUAUAAACUACUGGGAGAGAUAAAAAAAAUUUAUUAUCUACAAAACCAUUUGGAAACUGGGUGAAGGUACAAGCAGAGUCCAUUUUACUACUAUUGCUCCUUUAUAUACGUCUAAUCUUUUUUCUGAUAAAAUUGUUUUCAAAGAAGAUCUCAAAAUUUAUUACUAUAUACCAGUUAUUUUCAAACUCUUUACCAAAAAGGCAGUUUAUGUUGUUACCUUAUACAUAUGUGUGUGUGCGACAACAGGGCUCUAUAAAAUAUUUGCCUUCACUAUAUACUUUCCUACUCUCUGCCAUGCUUGGUUAAUAUUGAAGAUAGUGUUGGAACCUACAUGACUGAUUCCAAAAUGUGUUCAUUGAUUGUGUCCCACAAUUUGAAAUAUGAAAAUAAUCAAAUCAUUAGUCAAAUCUUCUGGUCUACAAUUAAACAUUUGUCUAUUAGCCUGUGUCAAGGGAAAAGUGGCUUUAGGGGGAGGGAUAGAGGAGAAAGAGCAGUCAAGAAAUUGUUGCCUCCCUUUUUGGAAAAGUCAGGCCUGAUCUUGGGAGCAGAUGUCAUCAGGGAUUGACUAAAAGUGAGUGCUUCGUAAGCUGCCCGUUCUGUGACUGAGGAGCCACUGUCAAUAUUUCCAUGCAUUUGUUCCUAGACAGAACUCAGCUUUCAAGCAACCACCCCUCUUCUCUGGCCAUCAUGCCUUUGCUAACAUGGAGCUCAUCUCCUGUCUCCGACUUGCCCUGGUUUUGAAUUUAUAUCCUGCUCUCCCUCUCCCUCUUCCUCAUUCCCCUUAUGGUGAUACCCCCACCAACCAGUGUCAUGGACAAAAGUUUCAUCCACCAAAGGGAAGGACAAAGCAUGCUGAGAUUUGCUCAGCACUUAAAUCCCAUUGUAGCAAAGGUCUGAUGAAGCCAGCAGAGUGCAAAGUCUGUCAUCUAGAAGAAAGCACUGAAUAAAUUUAACUUUGGUAUCUAAGAAUGAAGUAUCGAAUCUUCUGUCCUUCAGCAAAUGGCAAUCAACUUCCUGUUGGGAAAAAGGUGAGCAUUUGAAGAUUUCAGGGAUUCAACAGACAUCAAGGAAAUGCAGAACAGCACCUUGAUAUACUAUAAAAUAAGCUUCAAGUUUUAAAAUAUUUUAUAAAGGGGUCCACAAACCCAGAGACAUUCCAUGUAAUGUAUUUUAUAUACUUUAUAUAUCAUAUAUGUGUGGGGAAUUUUUAGUAACUGAAAACAUACAUAUAUUGGAUGAACUACUCCUUCCACUCAUAAAUAUUAUUAUUUUGCCAAGGAGGGCAUUGCCAUUCCUCCAACUGCAAAAGCUGUAUUUCCUUCAAUAUUAAGGUUAAUGAAGGCUGGGGCCCUGUAAUCUACAUGAGUAGGUUAAUUCUCAUGUGUCCUAGAUAGUUGAGAGAGAGAUUUGGAACUUCAGCUGAGGGGAGAUACACACAUUGCCAAACUGGACAUACAAGCAUGCAAAUGGAAUGAGAGAAGCUAUGUGCCAUGCACCCCGGUGCCUCCGCUUCCCUUCAGCAGAGCCCAGAAGUUGCACAAGAGCUGCCCUCCCCCCAUGCAUGAAGGAGAAAAGCCAGUUCACAAGCUUUAAACAACCCUGGAGAAAAGCUGUUACAUGAUUCAAGCUUUGAGUAUACAAUAGUUGGAGAGUGGCUUAUUAAAAAUUAGCCAGACUGCCAUGACAUUGCUGACAGGACAUUCACGUGUUCAGUGUACUGUAGAAGUGAGGAUACGGCACCAACGAUCUCCUGCCUGUAUCCAGGAUAUGCAUGUGCAAAUUGCUUUUAAAAAUGCCCUUGUGAACAAAGGUGAAAGUUCAGUUUCAAAACAUCACAACUAGAUGAGACUAUCUCAAUUUGUUCGCUUAAACCACGUUUUGCCCAAAGGCAAAGGAAGAUAACCUUUCUCAUGACUUGUUUCCUUACUCAGGCUGUCUUUAAUAUUGCUGACAGGAAAGAUGGGUGCUAGAAAAAUAGCACAAAUGAGACAAGAGACUCCUAUUGGUUACCUGUCAUGGUAAAGGCAUUAUUAUUAUUAUCUGCAAAUGUUUAGAGUCUCCAGUUUUUUUUUUUUUUAUUGAAGGCUGGUAAUCAAUAUUUGGGGAUCCAUCCUCCUGGCAGGCUUAGUUCUAGAUACUGGACUGGGAAACUAAUUUUCAGAGCAGAAUCUAGUAGUAGACAGAAAAGACGUAGAUUAGUGAACAUGGUGUUUUAAUGAUGUUCAAUGUGAACAGAACUAACUAGAGUGACAUAAAGCAGUACCCAAGGCUGAGGUUGGCUUUGGAAGUAGGAAGCAAUUUGAGAGGUGUCCUAUUUUUAUUUUGGUGGUGACUGUUGGGUAUAUACAGUUAUUUGAAACCGUUAAAUCAUGUGCCAUAAAUAGGCACAUCUUUAAAGAUUUUGAUUUUAUUUUGUAUUACUUCACUGAGAGUUUUGUACAGUAUGUUUUGAUCAUAUUCACUCCCUCCUCCAACUCUUCCCAGUUCUACCCCCCUUUCCUACACACCCAAUUUUGUGCCGUUUUUAUUUUUUAAAUCCAUCAAGACCAAUUUGUGCCGCCCAAAUGUUCUCAGAUGUGUGGUCUUUCACUGAAGCAUGAUCAAUUUACCAGGGGCUAUACUCACAGAGGAAAUUGUCUCUUUCUCCCGGGAGCCAACAGUGGCCUUGGGAGGAAGAGAUGUGAUAUAAAUGCUCCAUUUAAUGAUGAGCAUUUUGCAGUCUCCUGUUUUCUGUACCUUGGCUAUCUGUGGGUCUCUGUGUUAAUCACUAUUUACUACAAACAGAAGCUCCUCAGAUGAGGUUUGAUUGAUGCAUCGAUACAUGGGUAUAAUAAGUCAUUUAGGAGUUGUUUGGGUACUAUGUUAAUUUAACAAUAUAGUAGUCAUAGUUUCUCCGUAGGGCCUAUGACAUGUCUAUCCCAUUCAUGUCUAUUCCCAGUUAUGGGUUUGAUCUUGUGGAGUGAGACUUAAACCCAAUCAGAAAUCUCUCUCACACACAUACAUGCGCAGAGAGUUAAAUGGAGUUACCAUACAACAGGGCAAUCCCCUUACUAGACACCAGAGACUAACAAAUAAGAAGCCCAGUGUGGUGAUAGAUUGUGUACCCUGAUAAAAAUUUGCCUAAAGAUCAGAAAACAGAACAAGCCACUAGAUUAAACAUAGAGGCCAGGCAGUGAUGGCACACACCUUUAAUCCUAGUACUCAGGAGGCAGAGAUCUGUAUGGAUCUCUGUGUGUUCAAAGCCACCCUGGACUGCAAGAGAUUGACUGAGUCUAGGAGAUAAAACAGAGCCAGGCCGUGGUGGCACACGCCUUUAAUCCCAGUACUGGGAAGCACACAUACCUUUAAUCCCAGGAAGUGAUGGCUGGGCGGAGAAAGGUAUAUAAGGCGUGAGGAGACAGGAACUAAAGGCUUUUCGGCAGAAGUGUCCUUUUCAGCUGGAGCCUUUUUCAGCUGGAGCCUUUUGGUUGAGGACUCAGAGGAUUCGUGGAGUUGGCGAGGUGAGGCGUGGCAGUGGGUUGUUCCUUUGUCUCUCUGAUCUUUCAGCAUUUACGCCAAUAUCUGGUACCAGCUUUUUUAUUAUAAGACCUAUUUAAGAUUCGAGCAACAGCCAGUCCAUGGAAUGUGCUAAAAGGGCACAUUUUGUGGUAUACAAAUUAUAUCUCAAUAAAAUUACAAAUCAUAAGAGCUCUGAACUGAGAUAGUAUGGGAAGUAAAGAGGAGAUGUAGAUACAGUUGAGAUGAGUGUUCUCAAGAAGACCUUUAGCUGUGAGAACUGCUAAUGUUCUGGUCUGAAGUCCUGCACUGGCCUCCUUGGGCCAGGUAGAGUGAGGAUCGAGUCACUCCUGCUUGUGGCCAUGUGAUCAAACUGACUCAGAAACAGGACACUUCCAAAACCUGAGGAUUCCAAGUAACUAGUCAGAGGGCCCUAGUGGGUCUGAGAAUGGAUGAUUGCAAAGUCCCCUCCCCUUAUCUGCAAGGAAAGUUCCUGUGAAGUGGCCAGGCUUGCUGUUCAUCAUUUCUGCUUUCUUCACUUCUGUAUACCUGUGGAGCCCACCGACUUUCAGAGGUGAUGCUGCCUGAUUCGUGACUUACUAAUCCAAGCCAAGUCAACCAUUAAAUUUAACUGCCAAGGUUCCCAGGGUUCACAAUGGGAAAGGUCACUGGUGUCUUUCUUGCUUUACUUUCAACAGAUGGCAAAAGCUAUCAAUUUUAGUAAUAUAAAACUCACUAUAUGGACAUAGCAUCAAACUACCGUCUAAAUAUGUAUCUUUGUAUCCAUAGAUGUGUGCAUUAGCCAUCAUCACAGGAGUAUCAUUGUGCAGUGGAUGGUAGUUAAUACAGAAACUCACUACUGGUUUAAGGGCAAAGAACAAGUAUCUGUGGAAUGCAAGGCCAUAAAGGUGACAUUUUUUUUUAUAAUCCCUCCCCCUAAGGUUGAAGGACCAUUUUAAAAGAAGGGGUUGGAAGAUUGUAAGAGCCAGAGGGUGGGGAGGACUGAAAAGAAACCGUCUUCUGGAUAUGACAAAACUGUUGUAUUUACAAACUCCCAGCAGCUAGGGUUGUCUGCAUAAGACCUGCAAGUCAGUCACCACGUCAACGUGGAUAGGGAGGGGUACAUAGGUUCCAGUGUCACAGCUCUGGAGGGAAAGGUCUCCUGACUUGUUGGGAAGUCAGGUGAUCCGUAGAGCCGCAAUAGGACAGCUCAGCUCUGGAGGGAAAAGUGUCCUGUCUUGUCAGGAAGUCAGGUGAUACCUGAAGCUGGGGUGCAGUGGGGGAUGGUCUCCCCACAGGAUGUAGCAAUCCUGCUCUUCCAGAGAGAGUUAUCACAGCUGAGCUUUGCUCCACCCCCACUCCCACCCCCCCUUAAAGGAGGCUUCCCAGCAGAGCUCCGCUUCUUCUCUCGGGCCCACGAUGUUGCUGCUGCUGUUUCUUCACUGUGCUAAAGCGGAAACCCCUGCAGAAAUGUAGCAAUCUCCUCCAGCUCAGACAAAAUGUUAUUUUUUUCUGCUCUGCCUUGCUCGGCCCCUCUAAGGGAAUGUCUCAGCAAGUUUUUGUUUGUUUGUUUGUUUGUUUUUUGUUUUUUUUUUCCGUUUAGUCCCUCUAAGGGACGUCUCAGCAAGAUUCUUCUGUUCUGCCCGCGAAUGAAGAUUUUCACCCAAGACUUUUGAAAAAGAGAUUUAUUUGGCAAGGAGGAGUCCAGGAGAGAGGCUGCCUCUGUCAGGGUGGGAAAGCACAGCCAACCCCUGAACAGGUAGAGGGGCUCAUAUAGGGCUUCUUAGGGGCGGAGUUUCUCCAGAGAGAAGAUUUCCUGCUCAGGGCUUAGUUUUGUUAGUCAGGGACAGAGUUGACUCUGAUUUCUGGGCCAGACUGUGUUUCUUUCACUGACCCUUUUUAGCCUUUUGGUUCUAAUUUCAGAGCCAGGGCAUAUUUCUUUGACUGUCUCUGAUUCUAGGGCCAAAGUGUGUUUCUUUGGCACUGGUUUCAGGGUCAGGGCAUAUUUCUUAGGUCCUGGGUUCAGGCCUAAAGUGUUUCUUUUACUGGCUUGGGUCUCAGGGCCAGGGUGUGUUUCUUUCACUAGCUCUGGUUUCAGGACCCCGGGUGGAUUUCCUUCACUUUACUAGCUCUGGUUUCAGGGUUAGGGUGGGUUUCUUUGGCUGGCCCCUUUUUUCUUACAACAGGCUCCUUCUGGACCCCAGUCCUUGGGACAAUGUCACCCACAUUUACAGUGGGUCUUCCCCUAUCAGUUAAACAUCUCUGGGAAAAUCUUCCACAUGUCCAGAGAUGUGUCUCCUAUUUGAUUAUAAAUCCCAUCAAGUUGGCAACCAAGAUUAAACAUCACAGAACAUAUACAGCCAAAUCAUGCUACCAAAGUCCUUCUGGAUGUGGGUACAGAAAAGCAGCAGUUAGGAUGGAGAGUUUCUUUCUGAAGUGAAAAAUGUGUUCAAAAAUUGAUUAUGAUAAUGGUUACACUUAUCUGGAUAUACAACAUCAAGUUUGAACUAUACACUCCAAAUGGGUGAAUUGUGUAGCAUGUGAAUUAUGUCUAAAUGAUGUGUUCCUUUUUAGAUGGCAAUAUAAUCCUGUAUGAGCCAGAAAAGUAAGGAAACUUUGGCCACAUGCCAAAGCAAAGUUAACUGGGUGAAACUCAUUUUUAUUUUCUUUUUAUCACACUCACAUAUUAAACCAACAAGAUACAGCUAGAGUAACUUCAGAGUGACUUGCUAUUUCACUCCUAUGGGAAAGGAAGACAUAAUUGUCCCCAAUCUCAAAGACUUCAAUUUCUAUUAAUUUAUAGCCUUGGAUAACCUGGAAAACUUCCUUUAUUAAAAUAAAAAUUGUGCCCAAUGUUAAUUAUUCUUGGUGUAUUUCUCAUCCUGUAUGAAAUCACUUCACAACCCCGAAGCAGAGUUUUGAGUUAGUAGACUGAGUAACCCAAUGUGAAGAUGAGCUGAGACCAGGCAAAAUGAUGCAGUUACAGCCACAAUCUUGGUGGGUAAAUGAGAGCAGUGUGUUUCUCACUCAGGGUGUGUGUCCGCAGGGGUGUCCACUCAUUCUCAUCUGUGGGGACCCACUGAUGGAGGCUUCCAUGAAGCAUGGGAGGACUGCAGCCAAUGUUUGUGUAGGCCACACUCCAUUCUCUUCAAGUUUGGAGAUAAUUUUAUCUUUUUACACCAUCCUUAUUUCAAUUUAUAUUUGGAGUGAACACCAAUCAGGUUCUUCCUAUUGACUCCUUCAUCUCUACCAACCUACAGUUUUCUUUUUAAAGCUAGAAGGCUUAUACUGUAUUUCAGUGAAGGAGUUGAAGGCAUUAAAAUCAAACCAGUUAUUAUAGCACAAUGGGAUUAACACUCCAGGGUAAAGGAUACAAAAGGAAAUGUGGCUACCCCUUACUGUAAAAUGUAAAGAGUUUUAAAAUAAGUUCUCUUCAACUUGAGGGGAGAUCACAGUGGUGUGAAAAGUGCUUUCUACACUGAGAUUUCAAAAAACCCAGUUUAGAUUAAAAACAAAUGCUGUAUAGUAUAAGAUCAUAGUAAUUAUCAGCUGAACUCCUUGUUAAGUCCCAUAUUGUGAACUUGUAUUUCUCCUUAUUUGAUGAAAUUGCUUAGGUCAGUUUUCCCUCUGAGAAAUGAAGGAAAACCUAACUCUACCGUCUUGGUCUUUAGUAUCUGGACACUGAACUCUCUAGCUGUUCCUUGUUGAGGUGUAUUAUAUAAGGUUCUCUACAGGAACAUAACAUACACACACAUGCAUGCACACACCUAUACUCACACACACAGUAGAUUUAGGAUUGGUUUCCAUUAUAAGGGCUGGGCCAUCUGUACACCAAAGACACAGAAUACUUGGUGGCUGCUCAGCCCAUGAAGCUAGAUGCCUCCAAAGUUCCAAUCUGGUGUAAGAAAGUUGGGUACAUCCUGGCAAGUCACCAACAUUGAGUCCAUGUUAAAAGCGAUGCUUAAAUGUCAAUGGAGGCAGCAUAUAAGAUGGUCUGGGGGAUUGAAUGUACAACCCUACAUAUGGUAGACAAGUGCUCUACCAUUGAGCUACACCCCAAGGUCUACAAUGAGCUCCAAAAAUCACAUGAUGAUAUUAGCAGCAACAACAAAUACAAUUUCAAGAUGGCUAAAUGAUUUGAACAACCAAAAGAAAUAUGAAUACAGAUAUUUCAUACAGCCAUCAGAGAAAUGAGAAUUAAGACCACAAUAUGACAUCAUGCUGCCACAGUUAGAAUGGUUGUUAUAAAAAAUAAUAAUAAUGGUAAGGUAUGCCAUUUGUGGGGAUAGUAGUUUGAAUGUUACUGGCCCUCAUAAUCUCAUAGGGAGUCGCACUAUUAGGAGGUGUGGCUUUGUUGGAGUGGGUACAGCCUUGUUAGAGGAAGUAUGUCACUGUGUGUGUGUGUGGGGGGGGGACUUUGAGGGUUCCUAUGCUCAGGAUACUGCUCAGUGUCUCAGUUGACUUCCUGUUACGUGCCAGAUGUAGGACUCUCAGCUACUACUCCAGCACCAUGUCUGCCUGCAUGCCACCAUGCUCCCUGUCAUGGUGAUAAUGGAAUAAACCUCUGAAACUGUAAGCGA